AUUCAUGUGUGCUCCAUUAAAGCUUUAUUAUGUUUACAAAUCUUCUGAUGAGUGAGAAAUCAAUAAUCUGAGGAAUUGUAGAUGUAGAAAUAGAAGAAAAAUAGAGUUUACCAUGCAUGACAGUAGAACUCUUUCUGAAGUUCUUUGGGAAAGAACAGCUAAAUGUCACCGAUGACCACAGACCUCCCUGGGGCCUCAAAAUCAGUGCAAGAGAUGAAACGGCACCUGCAGGCUGAACAGGGUGUGCCUUUGGGGCUGCUGGUAGCCAUGGCCGCCUUCACAUGAAGGAACCUGGAAGAAUGAGGGCAAACAGAACAAAAGCUGAGGCGAAAGGUGGAGCGAGAAAUCUGGUACAAUUCACACAAAUCCAUCCUUUUUUAUGGUUUGGUUCCAUGAGCUAAUACAUUUCUUUUUCUUGUUUGAGUUGGGAUUCUGCCAUUUGUAAUAAAAAGUUCUGAUGAUGAACA
ensembl:lncRNA